rnacentral:rRNA from 1 species
AUGUCAGGGCCGGAGCUGGAGCACGUGCGCACUGACGCAGGGGUUAUGAGGGGGACAUCUCUCCCUUGUUUCUUUGUCGAGGCGAUGCCUCACAAGUCCAGUAAGGAGAGCAGGCAUUCAUGGAGGGACAAUCUCUCGACCCUCUCUCUUCCUACACUCCUCCUCUCCCAGAUUGAGCGUUCCGCUGGAGCAUCACGGUUCUACGCGUCGAGGGGCGCCGUGCGGUUGCUGCCUGCUCUGUCUCACCGUGCAGUUCGGCCGUCGCCAUCCGGUAGAGACAUAGAUGGGUGGAUCAGGUUGCGCCUGAGGCCGAGGGCGAGGCAGAGGAGUGCGCUCCUCGCACUAUCAGUUCCGGUGGAAGCUCCGCUUCUUGUGGCCAUGUGUGUCUGUGUUGCCGUCCGGAAUUUCUUUGUUUCUUUAGUUAUAUAA